UACGUAGGGGGCAAGCGUUGUCCGGAAUCAUUGGGCGUAAAGCGCGCGUAGGCGGCCCGAUAAGUCUGCUGUGAAAGUCCAGGGCUCAACCCUGGAAUGCCGGUGGAUACUGUCGGGCUAGAGUUCGGAAGAGGCAAGUGGAAUUCCUGGUGUAGCGGUGGAAUGCGCAGAUAUCAGGAGGAACACCGGUGGCGAAGGCGGCUUCCUGGACCGCCACUGACGCUGAGGCGCGAAAGCGUGGGGAGCGAACAGG
rnacentral:rRNA from 1 species